rnacentral:rRNA from 1 species
CCUACGGGGGGCAGCAGUGAGGAAUAUUGGUCAAUGGCCGGAAGGCUGAACCAGCCAUGCCGCGUGAAGGUCAGUGCCCUAUGGGCGUUAAACUUCUUUUGUGCGGGAGCAAUAAUGGUCACGUGUGGCCAGACGAGAGUACCGUACGAAUAAGCAUCGGCUAACUCCGUGCCAGCAGCCGCGGUAAUACGGGGGGUGCAAGCGUUAUCCGGAUUUAUUGGGUUUAAAGGGUGCGUAGGCUGUGAGGUAAGUCAGCGGUGAAAUGCCCCCGCUCAACGGGGUGAAGUGCCAUUGAUACUGCCUGGCUGGAAUGCGGAUGCGGUGGGAGGAAUGUGUGGUGUAGCGGUGAAAUGCAUAGAUAUCACACAGAACACCGAUUGCGAAGGCAUCUCACGAAUCCGCGAUUGACGCUGAUGCACGAAAGCGUGGGUAUCAAACAGGAUUAGAUACCCUAGUAGUC